ensembl:lncRNA
CGGCAGAUUGAGCUAUGUGGGUCUUUCAUUCUAACUUCUAUUGCUAUGUUUAAAUCUUCAUCUUUUAAGUCUCCACUUUUUUUUUUUUUUUUCCUUUGGUCUAAGUUAGCUGCCUUCUGCAGUAAGCUAUGCCUUACAUUCUGACCAUUUAAAAAAAACCUGCAGUAGCAUUGCUGUUUUGCAGAUGGGUGUCUUAAGACUAGACACAAUAAAGCCAGGAUCCUGCAGGCUUUCUCUAACUGAUUUUCCUGAGCAGUAGCCAAGUAGCAAUUGAACAGCUAAAAAACCCUGAUUUUGGUUGUCCCCCAGAAGAAAUCUAUAUAGCAGGAUCUUUUAAGAUCGAAGUUUGUAUGAUGGCCACACAAACACUGGAGUGUUACUUAAUUCUUUGUAAAGGAGAUACCAUCACAUCUCGUUGACCAUCAGAAUGCAAAUCCGUGUAACUUUGACAAGAACAAACUGUAUAACUCAAGAAGAUAUAAAAAAGUAACUACAUUUGGUAAUCAAUCAGGAGAGAUUUGCUACAACGAUAUGAAUAAAUACAAUGGCUGAACGGCUAAUGUUUCAUGUGCACCUUGGCAAUAGGACAAAGAUUUUCCAGUGUACGAAAAACAGAAAGAAGGUGAGAAACCUGCUGUUUGGAUUUUUCAGAUGGAGAGCUGAUGCACAAAGAGAAUAAAAUAAUUGACGAUGGUCACAUAAGCAGCAUGGAUAAGAAACGCAGUUUCCAGGUUUCAGUCAGGCCACCUAGUCAUGUAAUCAGCUCCCAUACUUUGAAGGUCAAGCAGGUCAAAACAGGGAGGGAUAGACUCAAGUCCUUUAAAUUGAAGUGUUUACACUUCUCUUUAAAUAAAUAGAGAAUCUGUCUUAAAUUCCAUGGACUUUGAGCCAUAGUUUGUAAAGAGGUGAAUAAAAUUAUUUUAAAAAAAUAACAUAUUAAUGAAAAUAAAUUAUUUUAUAAUAUAUAGCUUACUGGGUAGCUUUGUAUCCAAUUACCCAGGUAAGAUAGAAGCUGAGCCAGAGACCCUUUCCUUGUAUCUAAAUAAUAAGUAAGUCAUCCACUGUUUUACAGUGAAAAACUGAAAAAUACUUGGAUAAGUUGCUUUGAAAAGUUAAAAUUAGCAAGACAUUGUUUUAUAAUGAUUAUUCAAAUUCCUCUGUAAUCAGACUUUGGAAACAGUGCUUUAGGAUGAUUUUAAAUGCAUCAAAGUACCCAUUUCACUAAUUAUAUUACAUCUACAAUUUCAGGGAGAAUAGAAAUUGAGAUCUAUGUCAAGGUUAAAGUCAGGUUUAAAACGAAAAGAUACCUUCCGCUGUUAAGCAAGUGAGUAACUUUACACAUGGGAACUAUUCCAUUUGCCACUGUUCAUGUGUAUAAUCCCAUAUCAUUACACUGGAGUUUAAUUCUUCUAAUCCUUAUUUUGGACUGGGUCCCAUUACUAUUUUUUAAAAGACUGCUCAUCCAUUCCAGUGCAUAUUUUUGAUUAAAAUGCAAAAGAACUUUAAGUUUUUUCUCAAGACAAAAAUAUUUGAGAAGUUGCUCCUUUCACUGGCACAAAACUUACUGUUUCUACUAUCAGUAGAUAAAGAUAAUUUAGUAAUAAUUGAUAGAGAUGAUAUGCAAAUGAACAUCAAUACUCUGUAGCAAGGAAAAAAAAGAUAAGGGCCGUUCUUUCAUACAAGGCCACCUUGUAGCUCUUAAUUAACUUGCAGCCUCUGCAAUAUCUUGUAUAUUGUUGACAUUCCUUAGCUUGGGCUAACAGUAACAUGCAUACAAUGCUCCCAUCACACCCUUCACUAGUUCAGUCAACUCUAUUCAUGUGUUACACACCUGUGCAUAUUUGCAGUCCAUUUAACUGUGGUGAGAGAAAUAUUAGCUUUCAAGGUGGACUCAAUAAAGGUGUUUUACCCCCUUUUUGUACUUCACAGUCACUAAAGGAAUUGAAAGUCAGAGACCCUACAUGUUAUUAUUAUUAUCUUUUUAUGGUAUCGUGAUCUUGUAUCAGCCUUGCUUCAUCAAAUAGGUAGGGAUGCAUGCAUCAACAGAAAUAUUACACCAGACAGCAUGUUCGUUUUCUCUCAGCUGUGUCAGUUUGUCUAAUGAGAGACAAAUUUUCUCCUUCCUCUAUUUAAGAUAGUCAUACAUUUUACAUUGUGACCACCUUGAAUAUUCAAAUCCUGUAGGAGGAUUCAGUUAUUUAGAAACGGAAAACUUUUGAUGUUGUACAUUGCAAGAUUGUACCAGAAACCGUGUGGAAUAUUUUAAAGAAAUUAUUAGAUUAUUAAUGACAGCAAUUUGGUAAUUUAUAGCAACUUCUAAAUUCAUUUCAAAUGUCUGCUCAGUGGAUGGAGAGAAUCUUAUUAUCUGCAAACUACUGCAGUCUGUAGUUAAACACAAAAGUUAUUGCUAAGUGCCUGGUCUUCUGCUUCAGAGAAAUGGUGGUGCUUGAAGGAUCUGUAUGUUGUCAUGUUUGGAAGAUAUUUUUACAGUUGACAGCUUUUCCAUUGUCACAGUGGUCAAAUUUGGGCAAAAUUUAAUCCCAUUGUUGAACUGAGCUUGAGUUUAACCCCAAAUCUAUUAUCUGAUAGCCACAAUUCUACCUUUGUACAUAAUUAACAGUUUAUUGAUGUUUGAUCUGAAUGAAGACACUUUACAUCUAAUUUAUCUGGAAUUUCACUGCAACCAGAGCCAAGAAAAAUUUCUUAAUUAUUACUUACAGUAUAUUUAUUGUCUACUACAAGCUACUUGCUGUUGACUAGUGAAAGUGACUGUUAUUAUUACUCAUGACUAAAAUAAAAACCAAGUGAGAUAUUUGUUUACAAAAAUCUUUAUGUAAGAUAUCUACAUCUAGUGUGGAUGAUGUUUAGGUGCAUAGAGCUCAUCAAAUUUCACUGUGAGCUUUGCGUCAAAUGAUGAAUUAAAAGUAACUUAGAAGAAAACAUGAACAACUGGUAACAUCCUCUCUUAAGUCUUUUCUCAAUUCUCCUUUCCCAAAUUCAUUCUCAGAUAGACCAAGGAUACAUGCUACCUCUGCUGAAGAUAGACAAAAGCCCUAAUUCAUGUUUUAAAGGCUCAUUCUCAUCUGUUACUGAUUUACUCUUUUAUAUGAAGCUCUUCUAGUAGAUUAUAUUGUACUGUCAGAGAACAACAUGAAUAGAUUUAUUAUUGAAUGAAUGAAUAAAAAUGGAAAACGAAAAAAUUUUUGAAACCUGUAUGACAAGCAUGGAAAAAAGUUGUAAGCUGGUAGAACCUGUGUGGUGAAAGCAGUUCCCCUUUGCUUCAGCUUAUUGUAGUAACAUUCAAAGAAAUCAGUGAAAUUCUUAGAGUGGGAAAAAUAUUACGGAACAGAUUAUAGACAUGAAUCCAUCAGAAUCAGGUAUUUUGCUAAACAAAUAGAUAAUUAUUUUAGUAUUUUA